GGGGAGGAGGAGAGGGGGAGAGAGGGAGAGAGAGAGAGAGAGAGAGAGAGAGAGAGAGAGAGAGGAAAAUGAAAAAAAUUAACCUUGAUUUAUUCCCCAUCAAAACAAAACAAUCACCACAAAUCUAAUUCAACUUACAGUCAGGUUUGAACAUAUGUUUUAGGGUACCUCUCUGUAGAAUAUUCGUAUAUGUACAUAUGUACACAUGACUCUGUAUGGUAAAAGUACACUUACUGCUUUUAGAUCUGGCUGGCUGCUGUCAUACCCAGUAGUUAAAUCCCUUAUUCCAGAAACUUUAAAUCUACCACAAGAUUUUGGAUAUGUGUCUUUUCCAUCGUAAUUCCUAAGGUUGUCAAAAAGCUGCUGAAUCACUUUAGGAUCAUGGCAGAUGAAAUAUGAAGCUUUGGUAAUAUGAAAUCCAUAUCUGUGAAGACACAAUACCAAUCAAUUGAAGAAGGAGCAGUCUUAUUAGUUGUACACCACACACAUCACACAACAUUCUAUAAAGCAAGAAUCUAUAUAGGUUAACUGUAUCAUAAGUUCACCCUGUUACAGUUUUUUAGAUGUCUGGACAGUUCAAUUGCUCCACUUCACAUACUUGAAGAGGGAAAGGUCUCCAGAUACAUAUUUUCUUAAUAAUUGAAAGAGAGAAACUUCACUUCUAAACCAAAAGAAGAAAUGAUGCCAUGAGGAGAUCUAAAUGCACAGGAAGAGAACAAAAUAUGUCUAAAUAUGUAACCUUGAGUGGACACCAGCUGACCUCUUCUGACUAACAGAAUUUCCAGACUUUUUUCCAGACAAAUUUCAGAAACUGCUUUCCCAUUGAAGUGUUUCUAUUAAACUACAUUGUUCUGUCGAUAAUCUCUUUACAUUAUCAUCUCUUGACAUUAUCUAUUUGCUGCCAAAUAGCAUGAUGCCGAAUCUGCAUCAAAAACAACUUGCCUGCUAGCACUGAAUUUUCAGAACAGCAUGUUGUUGGAAAGCAUACAAACCUGGACUGGUUCUUUCAGUGACUCUUCCUAAAGAUAAACAGCUGAUGAGAAUCUUUGAUGCUGGGGGAAGUCUGAAGGACAGAAGCUUUCACUAGCAUUAUUACAUGCAUGCUAGAAAUCUGGAAGGCUGCUGAAACAGCAACAUAUUUAUACCUAAAUGAACAUCUUGAAGGUCAGUAGUUGUUAAUUCAAUCUUAAGAAUCCAGCAAGGGAAUUAAAAAAGCCUACCUUAUAUUUGAAACAAAUGAUGAACCUGCUACUAUGGACUAUGCCCUUUUCUUUAUCUACUUCAGCUUUGAAAUGGGGUAGUAAUGAUAACCCCAAAAUACUAAGUAGAGUUUCUUCUGCUCUACAAGCAGUUCACAAGAUAACCCUGACCAGAAAAGAAGGGAGCAGAAAAAUGGAACACUACACUAGCAACAAACAGUAAACAAAUAUCGAUGACCCCAACGCAAACCAAGUAAAGGCCCACCAUUCCAGUUAAUCUGGAAUAGUAACAGCAUCUGUUAAUAAGACAGAGCUGUUUUCUUCCCUGUAUAUCUGCAGGUUUUCCACAAGUGCUGACUAUGUGCAAGUGACAUGAACUAUCUUCCUCUGAGGUGCGUCUACAGGAUGCUUUCAUGCUAAAUAAGUCUGACCUUCUCAGCAGCUAUUUACACAGUGGACAAGUGGCAUUGCUACGUUCCACUCAGUUAAACAUUCCAAUUCUGAAGGCAACCUGAAUCAGGUGUUUACUGAAUAAGUACUUAAGCAAGCACAUGCCAGAGAAGGACAGACCUCUGAAUAUACAACACUUCCAACUACAAGCAGCAAAGAGAAUUUCCAAGUCAGGUACCACAUUUGUAGUUCUAGACGUUAUUUUCUGUGUCUUUGUUUUAACCAUUUCAUACUGUUUUUAAACUUCUGCUACAUACAAGAGCCGAUGAAUUCCAUGGUUUCUGCAAUGUUUUUGCCACCUGAUUCCUUCUUAAUUUUUGAUGAAACAAGUAUGUUUAGAGCUGUGAGGACUGGUGAAACAAGAAGCACAAAGGCUAUAGUUUUCCAUGAGUCUUUCUGCAAGAUCCACCACAGCUUUGUUAGGGACACCACUGGAAAUGAAGAGGUGGAGAGUAUCCACCAGCCUGUGCUGCUCCCUCCUUUUUACCAACCAACCUAGAAACCACAUGAGGAAUGCACCACCCUGCCCAGUGGAAUCCAACAGCCAUUUCAGCUAUUGAUUUCUGCAGGUCUUUGAAUUUGGUAAAGGAAAAAGAAAAAGGAGUGCCUCAUAUUCAAAGCUUUCAGAGGAAUACCCUGUUGGAUAUAGCAAGCAGAGCCAGUAAUAGCACAUCAACUGAAUCAGCUCAAAUCUGGGUAUUCAGGAGGAGAAAGAACACACACUAUCAAUCAGAAAAUGAAAGACAGAAUAAUAUAAUAAAAAUUCUAACUAUAGUGCCAACUAGAAUUAAUUUAAUCACAAGUAGUACUGCAAGCAGGACAGAAAUAAGCCAGAUAGCAUAAAUAUGCCAGAGCUACUUGGACACAUUCUGCCAUUAAUGUUUUUGUGCAUCUGGUGUGUUUAAGCAGCAAGAAGCACUAUGAGCUCCACAGUGCACCAAUACUGCUGGGGAAAACAAAACAAAACAAAGUCCAAUCUUUUGUACAAGAAAGAGCAGUGCUCAAGAGCCAAACUUCUCAAAUGGGGGAUACCCGUCAGAAGAACUAGAAAAUGUUACAAACACCUCUUUAAUAGAGUAAGAGUUAGGAAGGUAGUCAAUGUUUUAAAACUACACAAAACCAAGUCAUGUUGGUAUGGAGAUAGCAUAGGUAUAUGAUCUAGCAUAGGAGAGCUCGCUAGAUCACUGUUACCAUACCUGUGUGUUUGUUUCUUUGUAUACCAUAGAUUGCUAUUAAGCAACAUACAUGGAAUGGAGAAAAUCUGAAGAUUUGACAAUUAUAAUCAAACUCACUCAUCAUAGACAGCCUUCAGCUGCUGUGACAAAGACAAGUUCCUGGUUGCCAAAAAGCUAGCCAUCUCUGCAGUUAUAACAGCAGCACUGACACCAUCUUUGUCCAGAACAGCAGGGCAGCACAUAUACCCUAAACAAAGAAAAAGUUAUAUUUAUAUUUUACACAUUUUAUGGUUUUGUUUUUUGUUUUUUUUUUUUAAUAAGAAUAGUAGAUAGUGCUGGGGAUAGCAAUGGGAGCGCAGUGGAGGGUAAGACAGGUUGUUGUCUAAAGGAGAAGUGAAUAUUGCCAUAGUAUGUAUUUUGGUUUAAUUCUAUACUGAUUAUUCAGCAUAGACUAAGAUUUGAAAAUGUGAUUACCCUUCCACAGCAGUAUAUGGUAACACUGAGAAUCAUCCAUUAUAUAGUCACAUUUUCACUGUUUUCAGAUACUGAGAUACUCAAGAAACUGUAAAAACUUGUAGAGAAUGGUGCUACUAAAGACUUACAUACCCCUAGUUCACAUCACCAUAGUUGGUGCUAAGUAGAGAUUAGGAUUGCAUACUAGUAAUACCAAUCAGCCAAGUGGAUGAUAUCAAUAGCUCCCAUUAAGGUCAGAACUAGAUUGCCAUUUUUUGAGAGUAGAACACUUUCACUAUUUUAAAGGAUACCAGAACAUAAUAUACUUUCUUACCUAUCGCCUCUUCAAAUGCAAAAAGAACAGCUUUUCCCUGAUCCAUGAGCUGCUUGGCACGGUUCCCCAUCCACUUAAAACCUGUCAGUGUCUCCUACAAAAGCAAUGACAACAAAACCCCACAGACUUUAAAAAUAAAAGCAAUGUAGGAAGGCAAAUAGAAGUAUAUCCAGUAAUCUUCUAACAACUUACCUCAAAGUGAAAACCUUCCUUUAGUGCAAUUGCUCUCAGGAUUUUGGAAGAAACAGUGCUUGAUAACAUGUAGACAUCUUUAAUGGCACAAGCAUCCCUAUUUUGUUUUUUCCAGCAAGUGAAGAUCCACCAACCUAACAGAGCUCCCAGCUCAUUUCCAGAAAACACCUUCCAUUCACCACUGGACAGAGAAGAAAAAAAAACAGAGAAUUUAAAGGACAGUACUGGAAAAACUUCUACUGGUUCUUACAUACAUGAAAACUAGCAAAUAAAGCUACCACAUCUGAAUUCCAGGAUUUGGAUACUUCACUGUGGGAAAUUCUGGAUCAGGAUCCUUCUGCUCCGGAACAGCAAAAGGAGGUCUAAGAUCAAACGCCUUGAAGGCCAGCUGCACAAAUUUAUGACCUACACCAUGCACAGAAGUAUGAACAAAUUUCAGAUCUGCGACUCACUGUAGGUAUCCAAUGUUCUGGUACAUGCAAAUUACUGGAAAAAGAGUAAUACACUCUAUACACCCCAGAGGAGAAUUUGCAUGUAUAAAAAAAGAUUUAAUAGAGAAACAUACCACAAAAGGUGUCGGUGUUACAUCAGAGAAGAGAUAAACUGGAACUCCCUGACUGAUGAACGUAUUAGCAGCAAGUCUCGCAAACCUAAAUAACAAGAAAAGAAGCCUUGGAAAUAUAUUCAUUCUCUCAUCCAUUUCUUUGAAUUUCAAAGUUUUUCCUCCCCUCACUCCAAUUAAUAAAAUAAAAUAAAGGAAAUCAUUAUACACAACUUAAA